rnacentral:tRNA from 1 species
GGUUGUAGUUCAGUGGUAGAGCGUUUGCCUAGCAUGUGUGUGGUACUGCGUUAGAUCCUCAGCACCA